rnacentral:rRNA from 1 species
AAAACGACUCUCGACAACGGAUAUCUCGGCUCUCGCAUCGAUGAAGAACGUAGCGAAAUGCGAUACUUGGUGUGAAUUGCAGAAUCCCGUGAACCAUCGAGUCUUUGAACGCAAGUUGCGCCCCAAGCCGUCAGGCCGAGGGCACGUCUGCCUGGGUGUCACACA